rnacentral:rRNA from 1 species
GAGAGUGGCGCACGGGUGCGUAACACGUAUGUAACCUACCCUUAUCAGGGGGAUAGCCUCUCGAAAGAGAGAUUAAGCCCGCAUAACAUCACAUUAUAGCAUUAUGAAGUGAUCAAAUAUUUAUAGGAUAAGGAUGGGCACGCGGAACAUUAGCUAGUUGGUAAGGUAACGGCUUACCAAGGCUACGAUGUUUAGGGGAUCUGAGAGGAUGACCCCCCACACUGGUACUGAGACACGGACCAGACUCCUACGGGAGGCAGCAGUAAGGAAUAUUGGUCAAUGGGCGGAAGCCUGAACCAGCCAUGCCGCGUGCAGGAAGACGGCCCUACGGGUUGUAAACUGCUUUUGCAGGGGAAUAAACCCCUCUACGUGUAGAGGGUUGAAUGUACUCUGAGAAUAAGGAUCGGCUAACUCCGUGCCAACAGCCGCGGUAAUACGGAGGAUCCGAGCGUUAUCCGGAUUUAUUGGGUUUAAAGGGUGCGUAGCGGCCUAUUAAGUCAGGGGUGAAAGACGGUAGCUUAACUAUCGCGGUGCCUUUGAUACUGAUGGGCUUGAAUAUACUUGAGGUA